rnacentral:rRNA from 1 species
GAUGAACGCUGGCGGCGUGCCUAAUACAUGCAAGUCGAGCGAACAGAUAAGGAGCUUGCUCCUUUGAAGUUAGCGGCGGACGGGUGAGUAACACGUGGGUAACCUACCUAUAAGACUGGGAUAACUUCGGGAAACCGGAGCUAAUACCGGAUAACAUUUAGAACCGCAUGGCUCUAAAGUGAAAGAUGGUUUUGCUAUCACUUAUAGAUGGACCCGCGCCGUAUUAGCUAGUUGGUAAGGUAACGGCUUACCAAGGCGACGAUACGUAGCCGACCUGAGAGGGUGAUCGGCCACACUGGAACUGAGACACGGUCCAGACUCCUACGGGAGGCGGCAGUAGGGAAUCUUCCGCAAUGGGCGAAAGCCUGACGGAGCAACGCCGCGUGAGUGAUGAAGGGUUUCGGCUCGUAAAACUCUGUUAUUAGGGAAGAACAAAUGUGUAAGUAACUGUGCACAUCUUGACGGUACCUAAUCAGAAAGCCACGGCUAACUACGUGCCAGCAGCCGCGGUAAUACGUAGGUGGCAAGCGUUAUCCGGAAUUAUUGGGCGUAAAGCGCGCGUAGGCGGUUUCUUAAGUCUGAUGUGAAAGCCCACGGCUCAACCGUGGAGGGUCAUUGGAAACUGGGAAACCUGAGUGCAGAAGAGGAAAGUGGAAUUCCAUGUGUAGCGGUGAAAUGCGCAGAGAUAUGGAGGAACACCAGUGGCGAAGGCGACUUUCUGGUCUGCAACUGACGCUGAUGUGCGAAAGCGUGGGGAUCAAACAGGAUUAGAUACCCUGGUAGUCCACGCCGUAAACGAUGAGUGCUAAGUGUUAGGGGGUUUCCGCCCCUUAGUGCUGCAGCUAACGCAUUAAGCACUCCGCCUGGGGAGUACGACCGCAAGGUUGAAACUCAAAGGAAUUGACGGGGACCCGCACAAGCGGUGGAGCAUGUGGUUUAAUUCGAAGCAACGCGAAGAACCUUACCAAAUCUUGACAUCCUUUGAAAACUCUAGAGAUAGAGCCUUCCCCUUCGGGGGACAAAGUGACAGGUGGUGCAUGGUUGUCGUCAGCUCGUGUCGUGAGAUGUUGGGUUAAGUCCCGCAACGAGCGCAACCCUUAAGCUUAGUUGCCAUCAUUAAGUUGGGCACUCUAGGUUGACUGCCGGUGACAAACCGGAGGAAGGUGGGGAUGACGUCAAAUCAUCAUGCCCCUUAUGAUUUGGGCUACACACGUGCUACAAUGGACAAUACAAAGGGCAGCUAAACCGCGAGGUCAUGCAAAUCCCAUAAAGUUGUUCUCAGUUCGGAUUGUAGUCUGCAACUCGACUACAUGAAGCUGGAAUCGCUAGUAGUCGUAGAUCAGCAUGCUACGGUGAAUACGUUCCCGGGUCU